rnacentral:lncRNA from 10 species
AUGCCUGUGCUCUUUUCACUCCCCACUUGCUUCUCAGACUCUCAUGGCCUGGAGAAGAUCCUGAAACAAGGGAGGAUGAGCAGUGAUAUCUACCAAAUAUACCAAAAACAAGGAGAUGCCUGGAAUUUUCUUGCCAGAUUCUCCCUAAAUGAAGACUCCUCUGGCUCACCUUCCUGUGGUCACCCUGAGCAAGGCUCUGUUGCUGGUUUGCAGUCCCAGAGUCCCUCAUGCAGGCGGGCAUCCUCUAAGGGCAAGUUUUCACUGACAUCACCCUAACUCCCUGGAGUGGGACUUGAACAAGUGAGUCAUUCCAUGCUAAUGUCACUGUUUUUACUAAUGUAUAAUUUUUUAAAAAUAGUUUUUUUUAAAUUAUUAAUCCAGUAACUAUUUGUUGAGCGCAAAGUGCCUGGUGGAGGUUGGAGCGAUGAGUCAGACAUAGUCUCUGUUUUCAAGGAGUUUUUGCCUAAUAUUAAGGGAGCUAAACAGCAAAUUAAACAGCAAGUGUGAAAGUGCUUAGCAGGAUGCCCGGCUUAAUAGGUGAGAAAUUAUUUUCAUUUAAAAAAUGAUAUACAUAAAUAUCGAGAAGGGAUAAAGGUGGUUCUAAGAACAAGGAGAUUCCUAGAUUUAGCUAGAAGCCCAAGGGAAGAAGUUGAAUAUAAACACGAAGCAUGAGCCAGGUUUGAGGAGGCAAAGGUGGGGUUGUUGGGGGAGGGGGGCACAUUCCAGAUGAAGGGAGCUUGUCUAAUAUGCCACUGUGUUUACAGGUGAAGUCACCUAUUGAGAGAAACCCUGGAAGUUUAGCGUCUCUUGUCCCGCAGCGAUGGAGUACAAGAACUGAGACCCAUGUCAAAUGCUGUGAUUCCCAGAGCUGGUGCCCUGUGCAGGACUAGUUCCCAAGGAGAAGGGCCAGAGGGCUUUGGGCGCUCCUCCCUGCCCCCCAUUCUGACUCAUUGUGGGACCGAGCUGAGUUUAGCACUUCAUUUCCCUUGUUCGGGCCAGGGCGAUUUGAAUGCACCUGUCUCUCUGCUGUCCCUGCGGCCUGGUGAGGAUGGCCGUUGUGAGGGGUAGGGAGUACUUCCUAAUUGUGUUCCUGUGGUCUAGGUCCCACGUGAAGCCUGUUGGCGGUCACACUCAAAUGAGGUGGGGGCAGCCUGACCACUCAGUCACACUUGGAGGAUGGGUUGGCUAGUUCUUCUCACCCUCUGGUCUGGUUUUGAAGUUGCAAAUUUCUUAAGUUGCUCUUAAGAAAGGUGUGGGCCAGGGCUGGCGGUGGUGAAGUGGAACUUCAUCUUCAGAGAGCUGUCAGGUCUCAGCCACCGUGCUCCGUAUAUUCCUCCUGUGCAUUCUAUUAGCUCCUGAGCUCCCAACCUUCUCCUUUCCACAAAAUUAGACACAUCUGAAAUACAGAGCAAAUAGUCUCACAGGGGAAAAAACAAAAAAGAUGAAGCAGUGGAGGAGAGGGGACACAGUAAAAACUACAAAAUAUUUCCAUGCACAUGGAAGGGUCAGUGUCCUUCCACACAAAGUGAGUUUGUCUGGAAACUCCUGCUACAUGGAUCGAAGGUUCACCUUGUUUAUCUGCAAGGGCACAAGAGCUUGGCUUAUCCAUCCAGGGCAUUGCUCCCACCAACCGCACCUGCAACAGUGGUGAAGAAACCAUAGAACUCUGAAAUGUAUUAUUAUUAUCACACUAUCCUCAGGAACUGGGAGAUACUAGGGUCAAUAUUCUAUACAGCAAUUAGAGGUGCUGACCUGUUUGAAUUCUCUUGGUCUCCAGGGCAGAGGAUGUUGGUGGUGAUGAUGAUAAUGCUAUCAAUAACUUUCUGUCAUACUGAGUCAUACUGCUACAAAGCACUUUCACAUUUAUUGGCUCAUUUUAUCUCAAAAGCGCACUGGAGACCCCAUUCACCUUCAGAGUGUCCCCAAAAGAUAAGCCACCAUGGCUAGUAAGUGGACUUCAAUAUAGACUCAUGAUUUAGAGCGGAAUAUACUGGAACUUUUGGGAUUUGCAUUGUGGUAUUGCCCUUACCAGCUGGGUGACCUUAGACAAACCACUUCACCCCGCUGAGCCUUGGCUUCUUCAUAUGUAAAAAUGUGUUAAUAAUAACUGUCUCAGAGGGCUAUUGUAGGGGUUUAAAUGAUUUCAUGUAAAUAAAAAGGCCAUUAUAAACUCUAAAACAUUAUGCAAAUAUUAAUUGCCAUCUAUACAAGAAUGGGCUAUUUGCAAAAAUGAAUGUAAAUAUAGUUUGAGAUGGCAGGUGUGACGUGCCUGAAAGAGCGCUUCACUUGGGAUCUGAAGAUGUGUUUUCUAUUUUGGCCCCUACAUGUCAGGUGGCAGUGAGGAGUGUGGCUUUCAGACAGGCAAACACCACCAUGCAAAAAAAAAAAAAAAAAAAAAAAACGGCAGCCACCAUCCACCUGUCACCUUGUCACCUGUGGUAGACUGAAUGAUGGUCCCAAAGAUGCUCAUGUCCUAAUUCCUGGAACCUGGGACUAUGUUCUCCUACAUGUUAAAGGGACGUUGCAGAUGUGAUUAAGUUAGGGGUCAUGAAGUGUAGCGAUUAUCCCAUGUCAUUCAGAUGAGUCCAUUGGAAGGUGUAGGAGGAGAGUUGUGUGACAAUGGAAACAGAGAUUAUGUGCAUUGGAGAUGGAGGAAGGGGCCAUAAGUCAAAGAAUACGAGAAUCUCUGGAAGCUGAAAAAGGCAAGGAAAUGCAUUCUCCUCUACAGCCUCCAGAAGGAACUCUCUCUGCUGGCAGGUGACUUGAAAUCCCAGAGAAAUUAAUUUUGGACGUUUGGUUUCUGAAACUGUAAAAGGAUAAGUUUGUGUCAUUGCAAGCCACCAAGUUUGUGCUGGCUUUGUUACAAUGGCAAUAGGCAACUGGUGUAUACCACCUCAAAAUAAUCCGGCUCUUAUUUUCUUUCUCCCAACCUGAAUUCAACUUCUGAAUAGGCCAGUGAGCAUUCCCAAGUUUUCUUCUACUUUUUUGGUGGGCCAGUCUGGAGCUGACCUUUCUAGUUCUGCACAGCUUAUGCAUCACUGGGAUUGAUAACUGAUAAACUAACUCAUUGGUUCUGCACCCUAGAUUGGCUGGAGCUCAUCCUGGGGUUCUCAGGCUCAGGAAAUGCAGUCUUCGUGGCUUUGAGCAAGUCAGUUAAACUCACGGGCUCUCUAUUUUUUCAUCUGUCAUUUGGGGAUAAAAUUUCUUUCUAUGUCUACCUCACAGGGUGAAGAUUUAAGAGAAAUGAUAUCAAUGAAAGCUCUCUGCCACUUAUAAAAUGCUCUACAGGUGUGAACCCUGUUAUCAUCAUCAUUAGUAUUAUUUUAUUUUAUUUUUAAAAGAAUAAAAACUUUAUUAAAUGAAAUGAGUUAUAAUUAAGAGUUUCUGUUUUUUUCUUUCUUUAACUUUUAUUUUAGGUUUGGGGGUACAUGU